UACUUCGAGCUAUAAUGGUUUAUCUUUAUGAAUUGUAACUUGGAUGGAAAUUUUUUUCAUUGGCAUCUUCUUAUAUCUAGUUAAAGAGGCUUCAGCUGUCCAAUUAUGGUUUGAUCAAAUUCUUAUAUUUUAUUUCCAAGAUACGGUACUAUAGAGUAUAUACAAAUUAAAAGUUGUUCUUUAGCGUGAAGCAGACAUAACCAGCAUUAUCAAUAAUAGCAGUGAAGACACAAUUGCAAAUUAGCUUUAUUAGGGAAUAUGUCAAGGUUUACUCUUUAGCGACAAUAAAAACAGACAUAAUUCCGCAUCUCUUGUUGUAUAUGGCAAAGUCUGUUAUCCUAGAUUACAUGACAUUAUGUCUGUUUGAUCAAAACUAUAGUACGAACAAUCUAUAACAAGUCUAAUGUCUGUUCAUCAUAGUUACCUU
rnacentral:lncRNA from 1 species